rnacentral:lncRNA from 1 species
AAAAGGUGAGUCAGAUGAAAAAACCAGAAAUGGAGAAAAGCAAACAAAAUGGAGUGUAUGAAGACAGCUCCUUGACGCACGAGCCUAAACUGCAUGUUACUCCUGGCCCGCAUGAGUAUAAACUGUGCACGGUACCCAAUCUCAAACACCUGUUGAUCCUAUGAACUACGUUUUGACUUGAUCCCUUUCAAAAGGGUACGUAGGCAGCUUAGAUAAUUUCUAGGUUCAGUCAUGAAUUGUGUUUGACUCUUUUCAAUUUAUAUCAUCAAAGUUAUGAUUUAAGUUGAUUAUGUGAAGCCGAAUAUGUCUCAAAUUGGGAAGAAAAUCAAGCCAUCAAAAGAAGCACAAGCAUUUGGAGAAGAUGUCAAAAUAUCCAUCACAAACCAAAUAAGAAUCAUCAAGAGAGAAAUGAUAGAAACUGCAAUUUGCACCAAUACUAAGCAAAUGGGUCUUGAUCCUCCAAAGUUCUCUGAGCAGAGAUCAAAAGUGACUCUGAAGUCUUCAAAAUUCCGCAUCAUUUCCUCAUCAACAUGUGCAACUUUAUGUUUGUCAAACUCUCUUUUGAAUUAUGGGAUUGCACCUCGGGCAAUAUGAAAGGAGGCACUAUCUUGCUUGAAGAACAACGUCAUCUCCAUCUCCCACAUCUCUAUCAUAGCAAGCUCUUCCUUGAUCAAAGCAAUUCUGACGAUGGCUUCAUUCUCCUUGGCUUAAGCAUCAAGAAGAGAAGACUCAAUCUUCUCGAGUCGCUGUGCAGAAUUCUCCCAACUUCGUGAGAUGCCAAACAUGACAACCUCACUCAAACCAGACUCGAACAAUCCCAGGUCCGAGCGCACCCAAGACCUGUCAAAGAAUUGAGUCAUCUGGCGUUGAGGUCAGCUAUGCAUCGCCAACUUCACUUCUCUAAAGUUGAAACUAUUUGUGGAGUGGAAAUACACGUUCACACCUUUGAGUCAUCUAGCCUGCUCAAAUGCGCGCAAAGAGAAGAUGUAACCAGCAAUCUUCAAAGGUUGGACUCACAAUGGCCCAGAUCCGAGCGCACCCGAAAUCUGAUUAAAAGCCAAUUGAACCACCUGAAGUGCAAAGUAAACAUCACUCAAAUAAGGUCUUAGAUGAGCUGCCGCCAGAUUUUUGGAUAAACUCUCUGAGGAUGGUCUUUAGUCGAGCUAAUGGAGGUGUCAAAACUGAAAGAAAAAUAACAAUAGAUUCCAAACUUUGCAAAUACUCAAAGCAUCUCGUUUGGGGCAAAAUCCGCCAUCAAGUUGGUUGAUAAGACUGCGCCAAUCUUGAACAUAACCCUCCAAAAUCGUCAUCACCAAGCUUUCGCUGCUGCCAGCUGCACAAAAAAAUAAAAAUAAAAAAUUGAAUAACAAUAAAUGGUUUGAUAAAAAAAAAAAUCAAUUCAAAACUUGGGCCCAUACUUUGUUUCCAAAAUUGGGCCCGAUUUAUUUGAUUUAUAGAAAUGGGCUUGGUGUAAUUUAAGAUGGCCUCUCUACAAAUUAAAGAAGCCCAGCAAUGAAGCCCAAAGCCCCACCAAAAGAUGGCCCAACAUAAAUUCAACCAAGGGCUAAAUUGCAUACUCUCUCUUUUCCUCGGAUGAGACCGCAGCCAACACUCCUAGGCGGCGCAUCUCUUCUCAUACUCUCUCUUCUCCGGCAACCGCCUGCCAUCCGGCCUCGUUCCGGUC